CUUUGGUGGCUUCUUAGCCAAGGCAGAGCAGAAACGAGGGAAGCGUCUGACUGGACGAGAGAUCAAGAGAAAGACUCUUUCAGAGAGGAACUCUCCUCUUGGCAUUGAAAAUCUGCGAGAGGAUGGGUUAAGGCAACGAGCUCAGGAGAUGUGG